rnacentral:lncRNA from 1 species
CGGUGAGGUCCAUCGAAGAAGACGACCGAAGCUAGGGCUCUGGUGAUGUGUUGGCGUGCCUCCUGGCCAUCUCAUCGUGUUGAAACAUUUUAAUCUAAGCCCUUCCUUUUAAUUACCAUGCAUAUGAUGCAUUUACUAAUGACCAUUGUGGAACGGGCACACUUAGCCAUCAGAUAUGCCACCUCAAUUAAUGAGGGAAAUCUGAUGGCCCUUGUUUUUUCUAAUUUCUG